CGUCGCUUCUUAUCUCCCAGCCGCCACCUGCACAGGGCACACUCCGACCAUGCAACCGCCAAGGUCGCCGACCACAUCGUGCACGUCCACGCCAUCGACCUCGGCGGACGGUGCCGCAAUGUUCGUCAGUAUGUCCUGUUGGUCGAGGAGCGCGAAGGAAGUGGGCUGAGGGAAGUGGGGGCGGCGGCAGAAGCAGCAUGGGUGUCCUACGGUGAGCGCUUUGAGGGAUUCUGCAGAGCAGUUCUCCCCGGAGGCCUGAUGCAUCCAGCCGUACAAGGAAACUUGAAAACUACACCACAACUCUUAAGCUUGCCAAAAUAUGAGGAUUAUCACUCAGUCAUGAGCGAAACUGGAUGUACCCGGUAAGGAUGGAGGCGAGAUGGGGCCAUAGUGCCCCCUUUUGCGCAGGAGGGAGUAGGUCUGAGCCGAAGGCAACAAUUGUGGCCGCUUCCAGAGCCGAAGCCACCUGCGGAGUCAAUGUCAUGGUCGCCCCAGAGCGGAAUCCAUCGCCUAGGCCACAAGAGUAGGAGCUGCUGUCGCGGAGGUCAUCUCUGAACCUAAACUGAACUUUCUAUGGAUGGAGGUCAGGACCAAGCUUUAGGCAGGAAAAUGGGACAAUCUUCAGGAGAUUUCACCGAUGCCACAAAGAUGCUGCUGCAUCGAACGCAUAGGAUAAGAUGAUAUUAAGAUGCCAAAUAGCAGGUUGCUUCAAACCAGGGGAACUGGCUGGUUCAUAGAUGGUAGAAUGUUCAAUCUUCGACGAUGCUCAGGGAGCAAACAAGGGGAAUUAGGGAAAAGUAUAUUUUUCGUCCCUGGACUCGCUCAAAAGUAUAGAAACGUUCCUUCAACUUUAAAACCGGCAAAUGUUAGUCCCUCAACUUCUCAAACCGGAUUAUUUUAGUCCCUUGACUCAACAAAAGCUGUUUUCAUGCUUACUUGGCAUGGUUUUGACCAGUCAGCACCCACGUGGGAAUCUUCUUCUUUUCCAUUUUAACUCGGCUGGGCAUUUCGUCGAGUAGUAGGCGCCACCAGGCAACAAGAGGAAGAGGUAGGCAUGGAGCUUGCGUGGGUGUCGGCGGCGCACGCAAAGGGUGCAGGAGGCCAGGGAGCUGCACUACAGUUAGUUUUGUGGGACGAGCGGGGCUGUCGCGGCUAGCAGCACUGAGGCACGCGGCGGCUUGGCCUUCACGGCGAACUCGUAACACAGUCACAACUAACUGAUGCUCGUGUUGCCGCCUCGUGCUCAUGGUAUGCCUCUGCAAUUGUCGGCGACCGCGCCGUUGAUGUUCCCGCGUCAUCCAGUUCUCGUUCAAAUCCAUCACUUGCGUGUUGUGGGUCGUGGACAUGGCGCGGACAACGGCGCGACGGCGGGGCGCACGCUUGUCGCCGCUCCAGUGCCAUCAGCCGCACCCGCUUCGGCGGCUCGCCCGGUUUGCCGUUGUUGCUCGGCCACACAUGGGCGAUGACUGGUGAAACCAUGCAAGUCAGCGUGAAAACCACUGUUGUUAAAUCAAAGGACUCAAGUUAUCCGGUUUAAAGAAUUGAGGGACUAAGUUUUGCUGGUUUUGAAGUUAAGGGACCGUUUCUAUACUUUCGAGAGAGUUUAGGGAUGAAAAAUAUACUUUCCCCUACUUGCUAUGAUGUUCGAAUUUGACUGUUCUGUCGUAAUCACCAAUCACCACAGUUAAGACACUACACAUGAUUCUG